CCCUGACAGCGUGCAUUGUGCCGCUGACCUAACCCAGACAGGAGAUCAUCAUG
rnacentral:sRNA from 12 species